AGAGAAUGUAAGAAUUUUAGGGUUUGUUGUAGUGAACUUGUGGCGGUGGGAAACUGGGAAUUGGGAGGUAGCGUGCCUAAACAUUUAUUCUUCGACCCCCAGUUUCUGGCACACAAGAAAAAAAAACAAAAAGCAAAAUCAUACAUACAUACCAGGUUCAGGUUUAGGUUUCUCCUCCUUGGAAUCUUCUGCCUCUCCAAGCCGUGGUUGUUUGGUAGGUCGCGGAUCCUCAUCGUCCCCGUCCGGACGGGUAUUGGGCACCGGCGCCAUUGGAUCUCUGUCUGUGAAAUCGAGAAGAGAUGCAGGAACCGAAAUGGGAAAUAAUUGGGAGGCAGCGUUUUUUUUUUCUUUCUAUUUCUUGCUCAUCGACUUCCCACAACAUCAACAUUGUGAGGAAGCAGAAACUAUGGAUAACAUAGAAAUUUUGAUUUUGCUGUGUGAUUUCUUUAGGAUAGAUAUGAAUUAUAUAGAGGGAAAAAAAAGAUUAGAUUGUAGAUAAUUUCGUGUGGCAUGCCCUCAUUCGUUAAAAAUCUGCUCGAAAUCUAUCCUCAAGGAUUCUAAACAGAUUGUGACACGUAGCAUGAUGAGAUUGGUUAAAAAUCUUAUCAGAAAUCUAUCAUCAACAAUUUUAAAAAGCUAACGACAUGUGGCGUAAUGGUAUUGGAUAAAAAUAUUAUCGAAAUCUAUUAUAAAAAGUUAUCGUUUCUGAUAAUGACACAUGACGAAACGAGACCGAUUAAAAAUAUUAUCUGAAAUUACAAAUAAAAUUAUUUUUUAUUAUUUUAUAAUAAAAAAUACAAAUAUUUUAUUACAUAUUAUUAUGACUAUUCAGUUUAGAUGUAGAUAUAUAAAAUGUAAUUACUGUUCAUUAAAGAGAAUUACUAUUCAUUGGAAGGGAUUGAAUAGGCAACUGUUCUGGGAGAGCAUUCUACACUGGAAGUGCUCUUAAACACGCGAGAUAUUCGAAAUUUUCUAGGGCAUUCGCCAAUUAAAUGAACGGUUAGAUUAUGUGGAUUAAAAGAUCCAACGGCCAAAAAUAAAGGAUUUGUGACUUGUUCACCCGGUGUUGGCUUAGCCUCAAGGUUGUGUGCUAGAUGUGCAAGGAGAAAAAUUGGAAUUCAAAAUCCUUAGGCCAUCUAAGGAAUUUUUCCUAUCUUUCUCCUCGCGUCUCUCCCUUUCUUCUUUCCCUCGUCUACUCUACCAUCAGGUCCACCAAGGCUAACAUGGACGUCGAGACCUUCUACAGCAGCAUCAUCACUGUCAUCUUCAUUGGGGAAGGCGAGACUGUUUGGGUUAAAACUUGAACUUUUGGCUAAAAAGGGGGUUAGCCCAAAAGGAGGUCCAAAAUGAAGGAAGCCGAAGCCUAGAAGAAGGAAGAAGACAUUUUCCCGACUAAGUGCAGAUCCUUUAAGCCACUUGCUCACCUACCUAGAGGCCAAGUGGUAUAGACUAGCCAGCUAAUCAGCCCAAAAGUACUUUAUAAUGGCAGUACAAGUAAAAAGCUGAUGAGUCACUACCCUUCAGCUGUAUUCGGGUAAGAUUAAUGCUGCAGGCAGCCAUGCCAAAUCAUCUAUAAAAAGAGAAAGAGAAAUCAGAGAUAAGGACACUCAAUCAAACAAACAACUACAUAAACUCUGCUCAAGCCAGAUUUGCAUACGAAGCUGUAGUCAGCAUCAAGCCUUCAUCCCUUUCGGAAUCAACCUUCACCAAAAAGCCUUUGUAAAAGCUCUACUACCCUAUCUAAAACUUGUUCUAGUAUCGAUUCCCUCGUCCCCCAAUCUCUCAUUCUAGCACUCAAAUCCUUUGUAAAUCACAAAGGGAGGAAGUUGCAAGACAAUUAGCCUUGCCCGACAAGGUGAAAACCUUGCCUAACCCUCUUUGUUUUGUCUUUUCAUUCAUAAAUCUAGUAAUAUGAUGUAUACUUCCAUCUGCAUCCAAGUUAUUUCUAGCAAGUUUGUGAUUAAAAUACUUAUAAGUUCUAACCCUUCGGGCAUACAAGAUUGAUUAAUUAAAAAUCAUUGGUCUCAAGGUAGAAAAAAGAACUUUAUGUGGACUUAACUCAUCCGCGACAUUCCUUGAUAACAAGAAGUUCGAAGUUACUUGGGGUGCAAGUAAUCAGCCUAUUUCUCAAUUUUACUUCUGUUAUAUUAUGAUUGUCAUAGAACGUUUGAGUAUAGAAUUAACUCUGAUGGGAAGCCUCAAGGUCUAUACCUAAAGCCUUACAAAGGCACCCAUCUAGGUUCGUUCUGCUUUCCGGGCUCGGACGAUUAAAGGGUAACGGUUGUAAAACUUCUGCAACAAUGAAACAACCACUAUAUGUUCGAGUACUUGGUUAGUUUUGAUGUGAAGCCUCAAGGCCUACACCUAAUACCCUACAAAGGCACAUUUCAUAGCUAACUCGGUCUCUCAGGCAUAUACAAUCAAAACUAAACAUCUGUUUUACAUCUAUCAUGCUAAAGAUGACAGUGGCAUGCCUGAACACCUAAAGUUAGUUUUGAUUGGAAGCCUCAAGGCAUACACCUAAGGCCCCACAAAGGCACCUUUCAGAAUUAACUUUGUCCUUCUCUUACAGCCCGCCAAUAAGCAGAAGCUCGACAAACAAUAUCAACCAGCGCCAACCUCUCGGGGAGCUGUGUGCUCGUCGGCCAGGAAACGUCCCCAUCGGAAAUUCCUCAAGACCAACAGAGACCAUAGUGGGCAUCGACCCAUGUGCCGAAUUUUGCCUGCUGACGUGGAGGUAGCUGUCAGAAUUGUCAAGAAUAGGAAACCCAAUGAUGCCGAUUCCACUCUAGUGACCACUGCUCCACCCAAGUUUUAUGUUGCAACCCUGCCUCUGAUUCCUCGCUCAACUGUGAUGCCAUUUAUCACGAUACAGGCUGCUAUUUCGAAGAACAUGGUGCAAAGUCUUUUAGUGUCGACUUUCCAGAUCGGGUAUUCGAUUAACAGUGACACCAUCGAUGCCAUCUAUGAUAUGGGUAAAUUGUGGAUGGUGUAUAGACCAAUUGAAUAGUUGGUAUGCAAUGUCAUUUGGUUUGAUUACUGUUUGAAAUUCUAGGAUAGGGGGAAUGUGGAGAGAGAGAGAGAGAGAGAAAGAAAGAAAGAAAGAGAGAAAGAGAGAAAGAGAGAAAGAGAGAUAGAGCGUGGUGGGAGAAAAGAGAAAGACAGUGGGCGAGGGAUUUAGGUUUUUGUACAGACAAAAAAAUGGCUUCCGUCGAUGACGGGGUUGAGAGCACAGAGAGAGAGAGAGGAAAUGGGGCUAGAGAUUGAAUUAUGGUGGGGUUUCUAUGAUAAGUGAUGAGAUUCGAGGCAAUAUGGAUGGAACACGUGGUCAGAUUUGGGAAGCCGACGACGGAGUAGGUGAGGGAGGGAAGAGGGAGAGAGACAUGAGGAGAGAGAUAGGGUUUAUUAAUAAAUUUUAAUUGUUAAAUAAAAAAUUAAUACAGUUGGUGAAGAGUGGAUUUUGCAGCUGCCAUGUCAUCAUUUAAUAGCGAAAUUGACAAAAUAUUUAACGGAGAUUUGACAUUGUAACGAAUUCAUAAGUUGAGGUAUGACAUUGCAAUGUUUAAAAUAUGAUGUAUGAGAUUGUGGUUUGACCCAUAAUUAAGGUAGUUUUGUAUAAUUUACACUAAAUUUAAUCUAUACUAAAACUGAAAACAAGUUGAAACACUGUUCAUAAACACAGUGUUCUUCCUGUUGUACACCUACUUAGUUUCUUUUAAUUUAAUUUUGCCACUGUCUGAGAAAUAGAGGUUUUGGUUCUGUUAUUUCAUCGCAUCUCAAUUUUUGGUUUAUUCCGUCGCAUCCCUUUCAACCCCAACGAACGAUCGAUUGAAUUUUAUUGAAGCAGCAAGUCGAAGGGAAGUCGCAGGUUCAACGCCGGCUUCCUCUUCACCGUGACCAUUAAUUCAAAGGAAAACUAACGAAAAGUCCAAAAAAACUUCUCUUUUAAUGAAAAGCCAUUUUUAAAUGUAUAGUGAAUAGUGCCAGUUAAAGGUAAAAAUGUGGUUUUUCGUUAAAAGUGAACAAUACCAGGAGUGUUUUAUUAAAACUCCUUAAUUCAAUCUAGCCGUCUCCCCUUUCCCCUCCACUUUCACCACAACAUCUUGGGUAAGCUUUGAAAUCUUUAUAGAUGAAUAGCUCUAAAGAUGUCUGUUGUUGUGUUGUUACAAAAUUUAGCCCUUUGGGGUUUCCUCUGUUUCUCUUUCUAUUGGUCUAAUUUGGGGUGAAAUUGUUGAAUUUUUGUUGAAUUAGAAUGUGAGUUUAAUUGUAAUAAUUUGAUACACAAUGACUGGAAACAAUUUUUUUUUUAAUUUUUUUUUAGUUUUUUUUAUGGUUGUCACUUUGGGGUUUUAGGGUGCGUUUGUUUGCACUCACUAGCAUUCAGUAGAUUAGAUUGGACUAAGUGGUAGUCUAGUCCUGUGUUUGAUACAAACCGGGACAAGCUUUAAUAAGACUCGUCCCGACUAAAUAGGACUAAGCACUUGGCUAAAGGGUCUUAGCGAGACCCCCCAAAAUCAGCCGGACUGCUAAGCCAACUCCUCCCUGCUUCGUCCCUCCUCGUUUUGCCCCUCCCAUUUACUUAUCCCUUGCAAGAUUCGGAACCUAGGUCCCAUAUAUAAACUAUGCCCUGCUUCACCCCUUUCAUCUACCAUUUCCAAAUCCAAAUCCCGCAAAAUUCGAAGCAAAAUAGGCAAAAAAUUCUGCAAUAUUACCACUUUCAAAACCAAAUUAAAAUCCAAAAUUGUAAACAAAAAAGCCAUUUUUUUUUUUUUACAAAAAAUGUUGUGCGUCUGAAACACACAGCAGUCACUUUAAUCACACUGCACCUAGUCCAGACUCCCUAAUUGCAGACCUUCGCCAUUGACGCCAGAGAAGUAGAAAUUUAAUUGACAUCAUUGUUGUUAAUCCUGUCGGUUAUAUCCGACAAGAAUUCUUAAACAAAUUUUUUAAUCCAACGGCUAGCUGACGUUAGCUAGCCGUUAUUUUUGAAUUUUUUUUACAUUUUUUUUUACAAAAUCUUUUUCCUUUAAAUUCUAUUUUUUUUUCUAUAACUUCCUUUAACUUCUAUUUUACAAAAUUCGUUUCAUAUUUUUUUGUAAAUUCUAUUUUUUUUCCUAUAACUUCUAUUUUACAAAAUUUGUUUCAUAUUUUUUUUAAAUUUUAUUUUUUUCCUAUUACUUCUAUUUUACAAAAUUUGUUUCAUAUAUUUUUUAAAUUCUAUUUUUUUCCUAUAACUUCCUAAGUCAUUAUACAACAUUAAAUUAAAUUAAGUAACAUGAAACAACAUUUAAAUUUAAUUUGUAGUUUUUAAAUUUAAGUUGUUUUUAAACAUAAGUUGUAGUUUUCCAAUUUAAGUUGUUGUAGUUUUCAAAUUUAAGUUGUUGUAGUUUUUAAAUUUAAAUAAUGAAUUAUGUUUGGCCCUAUGACCCUUUGGCCCUCGGUUGGAGACAGUUUUUUGUGACAUAGCUAAAACGAGCCAUAUGACCCUUUGGCCCUUAUUUGGAGAUGGAGGCAAAUAUGGUCAUGUACUGUUUAUUAAAAUAUUAAUAUCUUGGAGGGCCAAAGGGCUCGCUAAUGAUGUGAUGAUAGAAGCACUCUCUCUCCUUUUUCUGUUUAGCCAUGACGGACACCUUUAUGUAUGUAAUUUUGAGACACCAAAAAGGAACAGAGGCUCAAUCUAGAUUUGUCAUAACUACCAACCACCUCGAAUUAAACCCAAGACCCUGUUCUAGAGCUGUCGGAACUAAAAGAAAGAGAAAGGCGGCUCUUCAAUUACCGGGGUACAUCUAGUCCUGUGCUUUAACCAUAAAGCUAGCUAGAUAAAAUUCAUCGGUUUGCUUUAGCCCUUUGGCCCUCGUUCUGUUGGGGUCUUAGCACCUGACUUUGUUAUGCAAAUAGCCACCCUAUAACCACCAUAAGCAGGCAAAUUCUGUGAGAAUUUCCGCAUAAAAACUUCUAUACGUACCGAGAAAAUAAAUAGUUUGUAGACAUCUUAAGAUGUAAUUAUCUCUGAGUUUAUAUGAGCACUUGAACUCUAUGAGCACUUGAAUUCUAUGAAUACUUGAAUUCUUUCUAAUCAUCAUAUGGCCUAUAGUUUAAGCACUUCAAAUUUGAAGCAUGCUGUAUUGCAGAGUAUACAAUUCCUUGCUGCCUAUGAGGUUUGUUAUUUGUUUACUUUUUGUCCCUCUUCUUUAGUUAAGGCUUCUUUUUUGUUUGACUAAACUUUGAUUUUUGUACUGCUAAUGAAGAUUUUUCAAGAGGCUUUUUCCUUUCUUAAAUCAAGGAUAAAAUGAGUGUCCUAAAAGUUGCUUGAUGGCUUUUGACAGCAUGCUUGCAAUCUCGAAAACUAGGGGAAAAGAACCUUCCUAUGAUGAAAUUGAACCUAUCUUCCGUCCCUCUCGAACUUGCCUCAUGUCGCUCUCAAAUGCCAGGUAAGCUAUUGACCACCCUCUCUCCAUCUUCUUCUUCUUUUUCUUUCGCUUCUCCCUGUGCAAAUCUCAGAGGCGUCUACCACAAUUGCUUCACCGGGUCCUCUUGUCAUAAAAUUAGUUAUCAUUAUGAAUUUUUAUUACUUAAAGUUAAAGCAUAUGCAAAUAUUGAAGAGGUCCUUCGUCUUCCCAAUACUCGUCUAUUGAAGGGAUGAAUUUUUAUUGAUUGAAGUUAAAUUAAUGCGUAUUAUGUUAUCAGUUUGGUGUUGUAAUUUUACUUGCUAUAUAUAUACACAUCCCAAUAUCCAACUCUGGUUUUUGUUAGCAGAAAGAGUAGGUCCAAGUGGCUAGCUGUGAUAACCUCACAAUAAGUAUGUAUUUCUUCUUUUAUAUAAUCAAUUCUAUAGUUGCUGUAUUUAUUUUUUUCUCUGAUUCAUAUUUGCAUUCUACUCGUUUUCUUUGCAGCUGACUUAUCAAGUUACUAAACAACAAGCGGAUCUGCUGUUUUUUAUUUUAGUCAAAGCAAACAAACUAAGGGUCUAAAAGAUUGUCUAAAUGGAUCUUAAAAUAGUAGAAAAUGCAGAAAAGUUUGAAAUAAAUUGAGAUCUAAUAUUGUGAGUUAAUUAUCUGUACUAAGCAUAAAACAAAGGGAGUUCUUAUUGAUUCAAGGACGAACCAUUUUAUUAGAGGUGUGAUAUCCACACAUCUCAUUUUACUUCUCACACAUCUUUUUAAUUUUCAACUGUUGGAUCAGAUGAAUUGAAGAAGAUCAACGGAUAGAAAUUAUCAAGAAGUGUGUGAGAAGUAAAAUGGGGUGUGUGGAUAGCACAUCCCUUUUAUCAUGAUAUUUUGAACAAUGAAUGUGUGUUUUCAGGUAAACAAGAAGCUAAAGCAUAUUCUAAGGAUUUUUCGACCUAUUGUGGAUAGUGAGAUGCCAAUUUUGUUCUUUUUUACGGAAAUUUUAAUAUUUUAUCUUUUGAAAUAAGCGUUUUUAUAAGCCAGUUAAGGCUCCCAUGAUUCAGAAGCCUAACCAAUAAUACUCUUCUAUUUUUGGUGCCAAUGAAACAAAUAAUUAAUGGUUAUCCGUAUUGUACAUUUAACGUCAGUGUUUUUUGUUUGCUAAUUUUGAAAUUAUACUUGCAGUUAACUGAAUUGGUAAAGAAAGGCUCGGUUCAGUGGUAAAGCCAUGAAUUGUCGAUGGGAGGAGCGAAAUUUCAAAGGUUAAUUAAAAGGUCCCAAUAAAAAAAACUUAACGAAAAAGAAAGUGUUCAUACAACAAGAGACGCAAGAAAUACACAACAAAACCAAAAGAAAUCAUUUUUCCAUUUGACUACCAUAGAAAACCAAACAUGUUAUUCUCAACAGGCUUCAUUGACUAGAGAGUAUUGACCAAAUGGAGAAAGGCAUACAAGUUGAAAGAUUGAUUUGCUACAAGACCAAGACUUGAAUAACAAACAUAUGAAUACAUUUGGAUAAUAAACACAUGAAACACGAUGAACCAUACAUGCAGCUGUUUGCACCUAAAAUGUACCCAUUUUUACUUAUUUGGGCAAUUUGGGUAAAAUAUGGUAUUUGGAGGAUUAAUGAGCAAGAAGACUAACUUUGAAGAUAUUUAGCUAUCAAGUGGAGGGGUUUGACACUAUAAUAUUGUUUCUCCCAUUUGUUUGGGUGGUGGAGGUUUGUCAAGCCUUUAUUUAAUCAACAAAUUGCAUGCUUGUAAGGGCUGGUUUGGUAUUGCUGUGCUUUAAAAAAAAGCUGCUGUGAGAAUAAGCGGCUGUGCUGAGAAAAUAAGCGGCUGUGAAAUAAAUCAACAGAGUGUUUGGUAAACUUUUUUGUAAAAGUGCUUUUGGAAAAAAAAGCAGUCUGAUAGUGGGUCUUUUCAUUAAAGGAGCACUGUAGUUCUGUGUGCUUUGAAAAAAAGCCAGUUUUCCAAAGCUACAAAUUGCAGCUUCAGCUUUUUCCUUUGAUUUCAGCUUAUUCUCACAGCAGCUUCCAAAAUAAGCCAUUUUUUUUAAGUUUACCAAACACCAAAAACACUCCCAGCUUUUUUUCAUAUGAGCUUUUUUUAAAAUCACCUCAACCCCAAACUGGGGCUAAAUGGGUUGGAAGGCAACAUACGGAUGUGGAUGUAGAGAACAUGUGAAAGAAGCCAACUUGCUUCUUUUAAAUGUUAGUUUAUUACAAGUGGGAAGAUAUGUGAUGAAAGCAUGUGAUGGAAAUGCAAGUUCCCCUUUUGAUAUUAUUUCUCCAUGCAAAUUGGCAAGUGAAAUACAAACUGCCCAAGUUUCUUUCAGGCAGAUGCAAUGUCUUCAGCAGGGGGUUUCCUCCAAAUCUCUAUUUAAAGGAGCCCAAACACAAGGAUUAUGGACACUCAAUCAAACAAACAAAUACAAGCACAAACUCUGCUUAAACCAGAUUUGCCUUCAACGAAGCUGUAGUCAGCCCAAGCCUUCAUCCCUUUCGGGAUCAACCCUCACCCAAAGCCUUUGUAAUAGCUCUACUACCUUGUCUAAAAAACUUGUUGUAGUAUCGAUUUCCUUUUGUAAACCCAUCUCCCUACCCCUCUUUCUAAGCUCACAAACCCCUUGAUAAACCACAAAGAUAGGAAGUUGCAAGACGAUCAGCCUUGCCCGACAAGGUGAAACCUUGCCCGACCCUCUUUGUUUUUGUCUUUUCAUUCAGUAGUCUAGCAAUAUGUUGUAUACUUCCAGUUGUAUCCAACUUAUUUCUGGCAAGUUGAUGAUUAAAAAGGCUCCUCAGUUCUUGAAUCUGAUUUAAAUAUGUCUUCACAGAUUAAAUCAGAUCUAAGUUCUAAGCCCUUGGACAUGUAAGAUUGAUCAUUUAAAAGUCCUUGGUCUCAAGGCAUAAAAAAGAACUUUAUGUGGACUUAACACAUCCACGACAGUCUUUGAUAAACAAGAAGUCCGAAGUUACUUGGGGCGCAGGUAAUCGACCUAUCCCUUAGUAUUAUUUCUAUUAUAUUAUGAUUAUCGUAGAACGUUUGAGCAUAGAAGGAAUUCUGAUGGGAAGCCUCAAGGCCUACACCUAAGGCCCUACAAAGGCACCUAUUUGGAUUCUUUCUGCUUUUCGGGCUCGGGUAAUUAGAAGUAUAAUAGUCAUAAUACUUAUGUAAUCAAUGAAACAAACAUUAUAUAUUCAAGUGGGUUAGUUCCUGAUUGGAAGCCUCAAGGCCUACACCUAAGGCCCUACAAAAGCACCUUUCAUAACUAAAACAGCCUCUCGGGUAUAUAUACAACUAAAACUCAACAUCCGUUUUACAUCUGCCAUGCUGAAGAUGGCAGUGGCACGCUUGAGCAUUUAAAAGUUAAUCUUGAUUGUGAGCCUCAAUGCCUAUACCUAAGGCCCCACAAAUGCGUCUUUCAAAGUUAACUCUGUCAUUCUCUUUCAGCCUUGCUCGACAAGCCCGCCAGUGAAGCAGAAGCCCGACAGAAAGCAUCGACCGGCGCCAACCUCUUGGGGAGCUGUGCGCUCGUCGGCUAGGAAACAUCCCCAACGGAAAUUCUAGCCACAAACAGCAGCAUUCGACACUAACUUAAUUUAUUGACUUACACCAAAAGGGUAUAGGUGUCUCCGUCCCUUAAGAUGUCAACUUCAAGACCCUCGGAUGUUCCAGUUUUUUUUGAAAUGUGAGUAGAAAUUAGAAAACAUCUCCAUAUGACCUUUUUUAAAAAUUGAAAAGAUUUCAUAAAUUCUACAUUUCAGAUAAUCAAUCGUGAAGGAUAACUCUACAAAAUGCAUUGCCCAUCCACCGAGAGCUGAAUGAGUUUCAUAGAUUUUGGGGGGGGGGGGUCUUCAGAUAAAUAAAGCCAAAUGUUUAAUACCAAUCUCAACCACCAAUUAUAAGGUUAAAUGAAAAAAAAAAAAAAAUCUCUUUCAUAAGUGGGGUGCUUAUUCGAGCGUUUGAGUUCAAGGGAGAGACUAGAUAGAGAGAGGAUUAAUGGUGGAGAUCUAAUAUCAAGUCUCAAAACAAAACGUGCGUUUCAUUUAUUUCUUUUCCCAACGGUCCAAAACGACCUCGUUUUGGGCUUGGAUAAACUUAGCAACUUUAUCUUUUGACACAUUAGAGAUGCUCUUAGUGAUUCUUAAAGAAAAAAAAUUAUUUAUUUUACGGCCAUAAAAUUUAGAGGGAAAAUUUGGAGAGAGUUGGAGAUUUCACUGUAGAUGGUACGAUUUCUUACUUUGUGGAUGCUUAUGCCUGUUCAGAGAAAGAAAAGAAGAGAGAGUUGCUCAUGUUCUUGCAAACCAGCAUUCAAAACUCAGUUAGAAUAUCUUCAAAGUUUGAACAGAGAAGUGGAUGAGUUUGUGGAGACAAAACUUGGUUAUAAAAAUAAAAAAAAUAAAAAAAAAUAAAAAAAAACACUCUUUUUGUUUCCUUACAUCUCAAGCAAUCAAAAUCAAGAUAUAUCUUUUGUUUUUUUUUUCCAAGACGAAAAUAACAAUUACAAAGAAAAGGCCUUGUGGCAAGAAGAGCUAGCAAAAUCCCGUAAUUGAUUUUUAGAAUUACGCUUUUUUGGUGAAGCAUUUAACUCCAAGAUUCCAUGGUAAGGGGAAUAGCGGUAAUCUAUGCCCACUUAUACAAAGUGAGAGCGUGGAGAGAAAUUGUAGAAUGCUUAAGAUAGUGUGAUUCUCUUUAUGCCCCCAUUUAUUAAUUGUAAUCUAAGAGGAAGGAGUGACUUAUCAUCUAAGAAAUUACAAUUCUAAUAGGAAAGACUUGUCCUCCAAGAAAUUACAAUUCUAUGUAUGCAUGUGCUCAUUAUUAUAGUGAUGGUGUAAAUCCUAGUUAUUAGAUUGAGUUUUAGAUUACCUUAUUUUAGUGAUUCUUUACUAUUAGAAUUGUAAGUACUUGGAGGAUAAGUUAUUCCUUCCUCUUAGAUUACUAUUAAUAAAAAGGAUUAAUGUUAGGGUGACUAAAUUUGUAGAUAAAAUUUUGUAAACUAAAUGAUAUGGAAGUUGAUUACUUAAACGUUGAUAGACGUGCUCAUUCAUAUUGGUGACACAUCAUUUAGUUUGCAAAUUUUUUGUCUAUAAAUUUAGUCUCUCUAGCAUUACCCUUAGUAAAAGUAUUGACAUGUGAGAAUCACACAAUCUUAAACAUUCUACGAUUUCUAUCCACGCUUUCACUUGCUGCACCAUCUCUCAACCCUUUAGAAAAUGGCCACAACAUAUAUCACAAUGUUAUGGUAAAAUGUUCUAUUCUUGUAUAAUUGGCAUAGAUCGCUACUAGGAUUUGGAAAUUGGGAGGUAGCGUUCUUAAACGCGUUAGUUAUCCGAAAUUUCUAGAGCAUACACCAAUUAAAUGAAUGGUUGGAUCAUGUGGAGUAAAAGAUCCAACGGCCAAAAAUAAAAGAUUUGUGCCCUGAAGGCUUGGCCAUCAGGGUGUUUGUGUGUGUAAUAUGUGAGAAAAUACACUUGUUUACCGGUUAAAUCUUGCUCCCCUUACCAACCAAACAAAAACAAGAAGAAGAAAUCCUAAACCACACCCCCGACUAUAUAUAAAUAAAAUCCAACGACUUCGAAAAUUUUGCCAACUUAAAACAUGAAACCUGCUUGAAAUCCAUGACCCGUUUUAUGAGGAACCAGUUUGAUUUUAUAUUUUUUUCCACAAAUUCGUGGCUCCUCAUUCUAAUCCUCCCCAACUCUACCUCGUCAUCUUGUGAGACAUUGGCAAAAUGCUGCAAAAAUUAAUAGUGUUGUGAGAACAUUGUCUCGAUUGAGUUAAAGUUGAGAAAUCAUUACCACAUUUUUCUCUAAUGCAACAUAUGUUAGGUGCCAAAAAACUGCGGUGUAUAUUAUACUGCUGGUGAAAAUUAUGUAACAUACACAUAACGUUUAGCAAACUUGGGAGAAUAAAAUCACUUCCAAGUCAAAAUAGUUAGGAGAAGAAAGUAGGCAAAAUAAGGCCGUUAAGGGUCAAAUCUGAUCCAAUUUGACCCGUCUUGCCAUUCCCAUAUCAUAUUAGAUUGUCGGAAGCAGUUGUAGCAAGUUCCUUUACAGAAAAAGGAUCAUUUUGACUUUCAAGUGACUAAUUCACGAAAGAAUUUCUUGAUGACAUUUUUGGCACCAAACAAUAUCGCGUAAACAUCAAUUCCAAAUUUGGUGAAUUUGUCGUACACAUCGGAAUCUAACGUAACACGAUGAAACAUAUUAUUAAUUAAUAGCAAAAGAAAAGAAAGAUCAUUUAGUAAAAACACAAAAGUCUUAAAUCUUUUUAUCUUCAUCAAAACCAACAGUUGAUAUCCUAGAGUCCGACACAAAGUAGUACUUGUUUUUGUAUAUAUAGACAACAACAGUGAUGCCGCUUUGAUCAUCAUCGUCUGCAGCAUUAAAAAAAUAAAUACAUAACCAAAUAACAACAAAUUCAGUACAAAGAAACAACAAUAACAUCAAACAUUGCAGAAAAUUGAAUGCUGCAAAAACUGAAUGCCAAUUUUUUUUAGAAACAUUGAUGAAUAAAAGAAAAGAAAAACGAAGGUCCAGCAAAAAAAAAAGACAACAAGAAGAGAAAAACAAUGACGAAGAAAUUUGAAACAUGACAUGGUCUGAAAACCUGAAAACAAUCUGGUAUGCAUCUUGGCCACAUGGGAAUGAGCGUGCUCUUGGCCACCUGGGAAUGAGCUGGACGCCCGAGUCUAUUCGCUCACAACAGCAACAAAAGACUAUUUCAGCCAAAUCACUAACAACCGUCUCUGGUGGGUAAAAGGACGGCAACGGGCAGCUCAUAACACCGUGACCCGCCUCCAUGCAAAAACAGCGGAGGGACUCUUCAACAAAAUCUGCAACCAAACCAAAAAAAUAAAAAAAAAAGUUACUAGUUACUUCAAUAAAUUACACUAAAAACCGCGUUCCUCAAUCCUGAAUCUGACUACAUAUAUACCACUACAUUCUUAAAAGCAAGUUUGAAUCGUUAAUGAAACAUAUGAAGUUAAUGGAGAAGCUAGCUGCAGCACAUUGCUGAAAGCACAUAUUUAUGAACGAGUUACUGAAUAUCGACAAAUUACUAGUUACCAAAUGUCCAUUCUCGGAAGCAACACAUGGAUAAUAAUAUCUCCCCAAAACAUCACAAGAAAACAAUUGAUGCAACCAGAAACUGAAGACCAAGAGAACAACAUAUCUACUGCCUAUAAUGGGCUUUUCUUCUAUUUCCCUUCGGAAAGGUAAAAAGUUCCUAGUCACUUUAUAUCUUUCCCUAUUGCCUCGUUCUUUCUGGUCGCAUCAAUCGACAAAUUACUAGUUACUUCAAUAGGUCGUACCUAGUGCACAAGGCUCCCGCUUUACGCAGGGUCUGGGAUAGGUGAAUGUUGGCUAGCCUUACCCCUAUUUAUGGAGAGACUGCUCCCAAGUCUCGAACCCGAGACCUACCGCUCAUGGGCUAAUGUACUUGCCAUCGCACCAAGUGCGACCUCUUUACUAGUUACUUCAAUAGAUUACACAAAAUUUUAGGCAACUAAAUUCUUUCCCAGAACUACACAUGGAUAGUCUACACACCUAUCAAUUCCCAGAUACAGAAACUACAACAAUAAUGAGCAAAAAAUUGUUGAGAAUUUUACUUGAUUUUUGUACCAAUUUCCUCAGGGGGUAUAUGCGCCUUAAAUACUAUUCUCAAAUCAAUUGAAAUUACUCUCGCGAUAUCCCAAAGAACUUCAUUCAAUUACAUAAACCAAAAAUUGAAUUAAAAAAGGAUAAGUUUCAAUAUCAGAAAUUCUGUUACCAAAACGAAAUAAUAAAUAAAGAAAGAAAUUCGUCAAAACACAACAAAAAGCAUACGCACCAGCAGGUUCAUCUUCUGCCUCACCAAGCGGUGAUUGUUAGCUGGGACCGGUUCCCGAUCAUUCGACGCCACGGGAUCUGUGUCUGUAAAAGGGAGUAGUAAGAGAGUGCAUAAAUUUUAGGGUUUGUUGUUGUGAACUUGUGUGGUGGUGGGGCAUUGGCAAAGUGUUGCAAAAAUUAAUAGUGUUGUGAGAACAUUGUCCCAAUUGGGUUAAAGUUGAAUGAUCAUUGCCACAAUUUUCUCCAAUGCAAUAUAUGCUAUGUGCCAAAAAAAAAAAAAAAAAAAAAACUGCAGCAUAUAUUAUACGACGCAACAUACACAUAACAUUUAGCAAACGUACGAUAAUAAAAUCACUUCCAAGUCAAAAUAGUUAGGAGAAGAACGUAAGCAAAAUAAGGCCGUUAAGGUAUGCCAUGCAUCCUGGCCACUCUAUACGACACCGUGACCCUCCUCCAUGCAAAUUAUACAGCGGCGGGGCUUUCUAAAAUCGCAGAUAUAAAAAAAGUUAUGUAAUCAAAAUUUUCAUAUUCAGAAUGAAUCAUUGAGAAAAACACAUAGCAUAUUGUGUGUAUUACCUGGAGAACGGUUUCUGAAGUGGCUAUUUGUAUUCUGCAGUCUGGCUUUGAAAGAGGAAUGAGGUUGAAAUAUGGAGGGUGUCUGAUUUGUGAGGGCCUUGAUAUUUAUACCUCACACUCUAGAAUACAUCAAAAUCAAUCCAUUUAUUGAUUCCAAUAAAUUCCCUGACUUUUUGAGUACUCUCAGAUUUAGAAAGUCACUCUAGAAAUCUGGAUUAAAUACCACCAGAUUUUGAAGGACUCUUUAUACAUCUUAAUUGAAUGCAACCUGCAUUUCACUGAUUCAAUUAAAAUCUUAAUUGAAUGCCCAUGAAUUUUCAAACUCCUUUAAAGUCUCAUAUAAUCCUAAUUCAAUACAACCUCCUAAGAUAAUUUUCCAGAUUCAUAUAACUUUUUUAGAUACAGUCACAGUGCCGCAUUUAUUUGUGGUUAUGAAAAUAAGUUAAGUUGUUUUAAAUGUUUGUCUUUUGAUUUUCGUGUGCCUUCUUUUUGAUAAUCAUUUCAACGGCUCAUGUUGUUUCAGGUUCCAAAAAUCUAUGUCUCUCGAUAUUGCUAUCGUGUCCCCUUAGAUAUAUCCCGAGAGUAUACUAAUGAUCAAAUUAUUAAAGGUGUGACAGAAAAAGAAGCUUUGAAGGCACCAAUCAAAGAUCAUCCACCUUAUUUUGUGCUCGGAUUAUCACGUAAAGUGGUGGAUGAGUUCACGCCCAAGAAAUCUACUCUAUUUUUAGAAGGUAUUUUUCUUUUGUGUUAAUUAAUCUUUUGAUUUAUAUGUUAAGUUAUCAAAAUUUGUGUGUUGUUUUGUGUUAAUAAGAUCAUAAUGUUUUCUGUAUGAAAAUUUAUGAUCUUAUUAACACAAAACAAACACACAAAUUUUGAUAACUUAAAUAUAUAAAUGAAAGAGUUAAUUAACGCAAACGAAAAAUACCUUGCAAAAAAAAAAAGAGUAGAUUUCUGGGACAUGAAUUCAAUCACCACCUUACGUGAUGAUCCGAGCACAAAAUAAGUUGGACGAUCUUUGAUUGGUGCUUUCAAAGCUUCUUCUGUCACACCUUUAAGAAUUUAAUCAUUAGUAUACUCACAGGAUAUAUCUAAGGGGACAUGAUAGCAAUAUCAAGAAACAUAGAUUUUUGGAACCUGAAGCAACAAUUGAAACAACAUGAGCCGUUGAAACGAUUAUUAGAAAGAAGGCACACGAAAAUCAAAAGACAAACAUUUAAAAUAACUCAACUUAUUUUCAUAACCACAAAUAAAAGCGGCACUGUGACCGUAUCUAAAAACGUUUAUGAAUCUGGAAAAUCAAAUUAAGGCCGUUAAGGUCUGCCAUGCAUCCUAGCCACUCAGGCUUAGAGAUGUAAAAACCAUUUCACAUCUCACUAUAAUACUGUGGUUGUUUGCUACGGAGCUCCAGCUCCAAGGCUUUUGUGUCUACAUCCGGCAUGCAUCUUGGCCACCUGGGAAUGAGCUGUGCUCUUGUCAUUCUAGCAGGUAUAUUAGAAUGGACGCCCGAGUCUAUCCGCUCACAACAGCAAUAACAGACUAUUUCAGCCAAAUCGCUAACAGCCGUCUCUGGUGGGCAAAACCACGUCAACGGGCAGCUCAUAUAACUGUGACCCUCCUCCAUGCAAAUUGAACAGCGGAGGGGUUCUUCAACAAAAUCUGCAACCAAACCAAAAAAAUAAAAUAAAAAGUUCCUAGUUACUUCAGUAAAAUACCCUAAAAAAUUUUAGCAGCAAAUAUGCAAAGAUUCAGUCUUAACGGAUACCAAAGCAAAAUAACAAUCUGCAACCAGAAACUGAAGACCAAGAGAACAGCAAUUCUACUGCCUACAAUGGGCUUUUGUUUUAAUUCCCUUGGGAAAGGUACAAAGUUACUAGUUACUUGAUAUCGUUGCCUAUUGCCUCUUUCUUUCUGGUUGCAUCAAUUGAUAAAUUGCUUGUUACUUGAAUAAAUCACACAUAAUUUUUUAAGCAACUAAAUUCAUUCCCAGAAGAACUACACAUGGAUAGUCUAGACAGCUAACAAUCCCCAGAAAUAGAAACUUACAACAAGAAAAAUCCGUACCAGUAGGUUCAUCUUCUGCCUCAACAAGCGGUGAUUGUUUAGUUGGCUGCAGUGCUUGAUCAUCAUCCAGCGCCAUGGGAUCUGUCUUGUGUAAAAUCGAGAAAGAGAUUGUAAGAAUAUUAGGGUUUGUUGUAGUGAACUUGUGGUCGUGGGAAACUAGGAAUUGGGAAUUGGGAGGUAGCGUGCCUAAACAUUUAUUCUUCAACCCCCAGUUUCCGGCACACAAAAAAAAAAACACAAAAAGCAAAAGCAUACAUACAUACCAGGUUUAGGUUUCUCCUCCUUCACAUCUUCGGCCUCUCCAAGCUGUGGUUGUUUGGUAUGGAGCUCCAGCUCCAAGGCUUUUGUGUCUACAUCUGGCAUGCAUCUUGGCCACCUGGGAAUGAGCUGUGCUCUUGUCAUUCUAGCAGGUAUAUUAGAAUGGACGCCCGAGUCUAUCCGCUCACAACAGCAAUAACAGACUAUUUCAGCCAAAUCGCUAACAGCCGUCUCUGGUGGGCAAAACCACGUCAAUGGGCAGCUCAUAUAACUGUGACCCUCCUCCAUGCAAAUUGAACAGCGGAGGGGCUCUUCAACAAAAUCUGCAACCAAACCAAAAAAAUAAAAUAAAAAGUUCCUAGUUACUUCAGUAAAAUACCCUAAAAAAUUUUAGCAGCAAAUAUCCAAAGAUUCAGUUUUAACGGGUACCAAAGCAAAUUAAGAAUUUUCAACGGUUUAUUAUAAAGGUGUAAUGUUAAUGUGUGUAGACUCAAAACCGCAUUCCUCAAUCCUGAAUCUGGCAACAUAUAUACCACUACACUCUUAAAAGCAAGUUUGAAUCGUUAAUGAAACAUAUAAAGUUAAUGGAGAAGCUAGCUACAGCAAAUUGAUGAAAGCACAUAUUUAUGAACGAGUUACUGAAUAUCGACAAAUUACUAGUUACUAAAUAUCCAUUCUUGGAACCAACACAAGGAUAACAAUAUCUCCCCAAAACAUCACAAGCAAACGAUUGAUGCAACCAGAAACUGAAGACCUAGAGAAAAACAUAUCUACUGCCUAUAAUGGGCUCUUCUUCUAAUUCCCUUCGGAAAGGUAAAAAGUUCCCUAGUUACUUGAUAUCUUUCCCUAUUGCCUCGUUCUUUCUGGUCGCAUCAAUCGACAAAUUACUAGUUACUUCAAUAAAUUACACAAAACUUUAAGCAACUAAAUUCUUUCCCAGAACUACACAUGGAUAGUCUACACACCUAUCAAUUCCCAGAUACAGAAACGUACAACAAUAACGAGCAAAAAUUUGUUGAGAAUUUUACUCGAUUUUUGUACCAAUUUCCUCAGGGUAUAUACGCCUUAAAUACUAUUUUCAAAUCAACUGAAAUUACUGUCGCGAUACCCCAGAGAACUUCAUUCAAUUACAUAAACCAAAAAUUGAAUAAAAAAAGGAUAAGUUUCAACAUCAGAAAUUCUGGUACCAAAACAGAAAAAAAAAAAAUAAAGAAAUUUGUCAAAACACAACAAAAAGCAUACGUACCAGCAGGAUCAUCUUCUGCCUCACCAGGAGGUGAUUGUUCAUUUGGGACCGGUUCCUGAUCAUUCGGCGCCACGGGAUUUGUGUCUGUAAAAGGGAGUAAGAGAAUGUGUAAAUUUUAGGGUUUGUUGUUGUGAACUUGUGUGGUGGAGGGAAAUUGGGUAUUAGGCAAGGCACCCCCACCCCACCAACAAAAAAAAAAAAGGUUCUUUUUAAUCAAAUGGUUAAUAAGGUGUUAUCUUUGUGUCAAAGUGCAUUAUUGAAUCUUAACGAGUAUGUACUCAUACGAGCAAAUUUCAAUCGUUGAUAACAAAAAAUAUAAAUUAACGGAGAUGCUCGCCGUAUUCAUGAUCGAUCGCAAUGAAAAAUGAUUAGUUACUUGAUAUAUAUUAUGCUAUGUGGGUUAUGCAUCAUCAAUCAUGCACGAACCAAACUAAAAGACCGUUUGAUCUGUUUUUUUUGUUCAGAUUAUAUAAAGCACAUUUCAAGCAAUGUCCGCACAAGUUAUUAAGUAUCAGUCUUGUCCGAAGGAAAACUAAUUAGCAGCAAAUAUCCAAAGAUUCAGGCUCAAAGGGUACCAAAGCAAAUUAAGAAUUUACAACAGUUUAUAAGGGUGUAAGGUUAGCAUGUGUCAAAACCGCCUGAAUCUGACUAUAUAUAUAUACCACUACACUCAUAAAAGCAAGUUUGAAUCGUUGAUGAUACAUAUAAAGUUAAUGGAGAGGCUAGCUGCAGCAAAUUGAUGGAAGGACAUUUAUGAACGAGUUACUGAAUAUCGACAUAUUAUUACUAGUUACUAAAUAUCCAUUCUUGGAAACAACACAAGGAUAACAAUCUCUCUGCAAAUUUUCACAAGGAAACGAUUGAUGCAUCCAGAAACUGAAGACCAAAAGAACAACAUAUCCACUGCCUAUAAUGGGCUUUUGUUCUAAUUACCUUUAAACAGUAAAAAAUUACUUUCUGGUCACAUCAAUUGACAUAUUACUGGUUACUCAAUAAAUUACACAAUUUUUAAGCAUCCAAAUUCAUUCUCAGAAGUACACAAGGACAGUCUAGACGCCUAUCAAUUCCCAGAAACAGAAACGUACGACCAUUUUUAUACCAAUUUCCUCAAAGUAUAUACAUCUUAAAUACUAUUUUCAAAUCAAUGGUUAAUAAGGUGUUACAUUUGUGUGUCAAAACAGCAUUCCUGAAUCUAAACAUAUAUAUACUCAUACAAGCUAAUUUGAAUCGCUGAUGAAAAUACAUAAAUUAAUAGAGAAGCUAGCUAUAUUCAAGAUCAAUCCCGCCGAAAAAUGACUUGAUACUUGAUAUAUAUGUUAUCCCCAUGUGGGUUAGGCAUCAUCAAUCAUGCACGAAACAAACUAAAAAGACCCUUUGGUCUGUUUAAUAGAGCACAUUUCUAGGAAUGUCUGCACAAGUUAUUAAGUACGAGUCAUGAAUCUGACUACAUAUAUACCAUUAAACUCUUAAAAGCAAGUUUGAAUCGUUAAUGAAACAUAUAAAGUUAAUGGAGAAGCUAGCUGCAGCAAAUUGAUGAAAGCACAUAUUUAUGAACAAGUUACUGAAUAUCAACAAAUUACUAGUUACUAAAUAUCCAUUUUCGAAAACAACACAAGGAUAACAAUAUCUCCCCAAAACAUCACAAGCAAAGGAUUGAUGCAACCAGAAACUGAAGACCAAGAGAACAACAUAUCUACUGCCUAUAAUGGGCUUUUCUUCUAAUUCCCUUUAAAAAGUAAUAAGUUACUAGGUACUUGAUAUUGUUCCCUAUUGCCUCAUUUUUUCUGGUCGCAUCAAUUGACAUAUUACUGGUUACUAAAUAAAUUACACAAAAUUUUUAAGCAACCAAAUUCAUUCUCAGAAGUACACAAGGAUAGAUAGUCUAGAUGCCUAUCAACUCCCAGAAACAGAAACACACGACAAUUUUUAUACCAAUUUCCUCAAAGAAUAUACGUCCUAAAUACUAUUUUCAAAGCAAUGGUUAAUAAGGUGUUAUAUUUGUGUGCCAAAACAGCAUUCCUGAAUCUAAACAUUUAUAUACUCAUACGAGCAAAUUUGAAUCAUUGAUUAAAAAAUAUAAAUUAACAGGGAAGCUAGCUAUAUUCAAGAUCGAUCCCGCCGAAAAAUUACUAGAUUCUUGAUAUAUAUGUUAUCCCUAUGUGGGGUAGGCACCAUCAAUCAUGCACGAAACAAACUAAAAGACACUUUGGCAUUUUUUUUUUUUUUUAGAGAUUAUAUAGAGCACAUAUCUAGAAUGUCUGCGCAAGUUAAUAAGUAUGGGUCAUGUCCAAAGGGAAUCUAAUUAGCAGCAAAUAUCCAAAGAUUCAGUCUUAAUGGGUACCAAAGCAAAUUAAGAAUCUGCUAUCAGAAACUGAAGACCAAGAGAACAGCUAUAUCUACUGCCUGUAAUGGGCUUUUGUUCUAAUUCCCUUUGCCUCUUUGGAAAGGUACAAAGUUACUGGUUACUUGAUAUUGUUCCCAAUUGCCUCUUUCUUUCUGGUUGCAUAAAUAGACAAAUUACUAGUUUUUUUUUCUUUUGGACAAACAACAAAUUAAUAGUUACUUCAAUAAAUUACACAAAAUUUUUAAGCAACUAAAUUCAUUCCCAGAAGAACCGCGCAAGGAUAGUCCAGACACCUAUCAAUUCCCAGAAACAGAAAUUUACAACAAUAUGAGCAAAAAUUUGUUGGGAAUUUUACUCGAUUUUACACCAAUCUCCUCAGAAUACAUUCGUCUUAAAUACUAUUUCCAUAUCAAUUAAAAAUACUCUUGCGAUAUCACAGAGAAUUUCAUUCAAUUACAUAAACCAAAAGGUGAAUAAACUCAAUAUAAAAUAAGGACAAGUUUGACAUCAGAAAUUCUGGUACCAAAAUGAAAAAAUAAAAGAAAUUCGUCAAAACACAAAAAGCAUACCAGCAGGUUCAUCUUCUACCUCAACAAGCGGUGAUUGAUCAUCCAGCGCCUUGGGAUCUGCGUCUGUGUAAAAUCGAUAAAGAGAUUGUAAGAAUUUUAGGGUUUGAUGGGAAUUGGGAGGUAGCGUGCCCAAACAUUUAUCUUCGACCCCCAGUUUCUGGCACACAAAAAAAACACAAAAAGCAAAAUCAUACAUACAUACCAGGUUCAGGUUUAGGUUUCUCCUCCUUGGAAUCUUCUGCCUCUCCAAGCCGUGGUUGUUUGAUAGGUCGCGGAUCCUCAUCGUCCCCGUCCGGACGGGUAUUGGGCACCGGCGCCAUUGGAUCUCUGUCUGUGAAAUCGAGAAAGAGACUGCAGGAAUCGAAUUGGGAAAUUGGGAAUUGGGAGGUAACGUUUUUAUUUUCUUUUUC
rnacentral:lncRNA from 1 species